GAUGAACGCUGGCGGCGUGCUUAACACAUGCAAGUCGAACGAGCGAGAGAGAGCUUGCUUUCUCGAGCGAGUGGCGAACGGGUGAGUAACGCGUGAGGAACCUGCCUCAAAGAGGGGGACAACAGUUGGAAACGACUGCUAAUACCGCAUAAGCCCACGGCUCGGCAUCGAGCAGAGGGAAAAGGAGCAAUCCGCUUUGAGAUGGCCUCGCGUCCGAUUAGCUAGUUGGUGAGGUAAUGGCCCACCAAGGCGACGAUCGGUAGCCGGACUGAGAGGUUGAACGGCCACAUUGGGACUGAGACACGGCCCAGACUCCUACGGGAGGCAGCAGUGGGGGAUAUUGCACAAUGGGGGAAACCCUGAUGCAGCGACGCCGCGUGGAGGAAGAAGGUUUUCGGAUUGUAAACUCCUGUCGUUAGGGACGAUAAUGACGGUACCUAACAAGAAAGCACCGGCUAACUACGUG
rnacentral:rRNA from 1 species